rnacentral:sRNA from 1 species
AUGUACCACUCGUACACUCCGGUUCCUGCGCGCCGUCCGCGCCCACCUGACGGCUGCUCGCUACGUUUCGUUAGCC